rnacentral:rRNA from 1 species
GCGGAGGGGGCUAGCGUUGUUCGGAAUUACUGGGCGUAAAGCGCACGUAGGCGGACCGGAAAGUUGGAGGUGAAAUCCCAGGGCUCAACCUUGGAACUGCCUUCAAAACUAUCGGUCUGGAGUUCGAGAGAGGUGAGUGGAAUUCCGAGUGUAGAGGUGAAAUUCGUAGAUAUUCGGAGGAACACCAGUGGCGAAGGCGGCUCACUGGCUCGAUACUGACGCUGAGGUGCGAAAGCGUGGGGAGCAAACAGGA